rnacentral:rRNA from 1 species
GAGUUUGAUCCUGGCUCAGUAAGUCGUAACAAGGUAGCCGUAACUCUAGAGUUUGAUCCUGGCUCAGGAUUAACGCUGGCGGCAUGCCUAAUACAUGCAAGUCGAACGGAGUAGCAAUACUUAGUGGCGAACGGGUGAGUAACACGUAUCUAAUCUACCAUUUAGUGGGGAAUAACUGUUGGAAACGACAGCUAAUACCGCAUAAUAUUGCUGGAUAAUUUCCAGUAAUGAAAGGAGCUUUCAAGCUCCGCUGAUUGAUGAGGAUGCGGCGCAUUAGCUAGUUGGUAGGGUAAUGGCCUACCAAGGCAAUGAUGCGUAGCCGAUCUGAGAGGAUGAACGGCCACAUUGGGACUGAGACACGGCCCAAACUUCUACGGAAGGCAGCAGUAGGGAAUUUUUCACAAUGGGCGAAAGCCUGAUGGAGCAAUGCCGCGUGACUGAUGAAGGUCUUCGGAUUGUAAAGGUCUGUUGUAAGGGAAGAAAUGGUAAAACAGGAAAUGGUUUUAUCUAUGACGGUACCUUACCAGAAAGCCACGGCUAACUAUGUGCCAGCAGCCGCGGUAAUACAUAGGUGGCAAGCGUUAUC